UUUUUUUUUUUUUUUUUUGCUUUCUCUCUCUCUCUCUCUUUCAUAAAUUAGAGAUGGAGUCUCACUAUAUUGCCCAGGCUAGUCUCAAAUUCCUGGCCUUAAGUGAUCCUCCCACCUCGUAAUCUACUUUUUGGGGACUAAUGAGGUGUAGCCAAAAUACAACAUGUGGGAGGCAGUAAAUGUAGAGAUUAGGAGUAGAUUUGGCAAGCCAGACUGCUGUGGUCACACCCCAGCACAGAAUUUAUGAAUCCGGCUCCUCUCCAUUCAAAUCUCUGCCAAAAAUCACCUCCUUCUGGAGGCCCACCAUGACUAUUCUAUUUAAUACAGCUUACCCCACUGCCCUAUCACUCUCUACACCAUUCUCAUUUUAUUAUGCUCAGAGUAUCUAUUAUUCUCCGAAGAAGCAUUUCUUGAAAUCUAGCUGGUAAUCUUCUUUCCUUAUUAGAAUGUAAGCUCCAUGAGAGCAGGGAUCUCUCUGUAUCAGAAUCUGUAUUGUGCUUGGUAGGUAGUUGACUCAAUAAACAUUUCUGAGUGAAUGAAUAUAUUAUAUGGAAAUUGAAGAAUACAAGCUUCUCCACAUAAGCACGUGGCAGAAAAGACAAAAAGAGAGGUAGAGAAAAAGACUCUCUUUUUAUUUAAGCUUCCCUCCCCUGUUGAAAUCCACUACUCCAAAAAAGGGAGACACUGACCAAAACAGAAACAAAAGAAACUAAUUCUUGGUUUUUAUGCUUCCUGAUAAUUUAAGGGAUUUUCAUAGAUAGGUUUGACAAAUGCAAUUUUUUUGCCUUAGGCACUGGCACUAGAAACUAUUAAUAAACAAGAUUGGCCUACAGAGGGUGCUAGUUCUCUUCAAAAAAGUAAAAGAAGUGCAUGCGCUUUUCCACUGGGUCUGGGAAAGAGUUUACAAAACAAGCAGAGACACAGCUUAGUAACAACUAAUGAAACGUCUAAAUUGCCACAUUUUGCUUCAUAAAAAAAAAAAAAGGAGGAAUCUGUGAAAGUGCCAGAGGCAUUCAAAGACGUCCCCUGAGGAAAAGAAUUGGCAUCAUUUUUCAAAUGCAAAGAGAAGCUAAGCUAAGAGAAGCAUCCAUUUAAAAAGUUUUUUUAGUUCUUAUUUUUGAUAGAGAAGGGGUAUCACUAUGUUGACUGGCCUGAUUUUGAACUCGGAGGCUCAAAGGAUCCUCUGCCCCUCAGAGUGCUUGGAUUGCAGGUGUGAGCUACCAAGAGAGGCAUCCAGAAGUUGAAAAGACUGAAUCUGUUGUGAAACAGAAGACCCAGGUCGGGGGAAGUUGUUGCCAGCCCUGGAGGGAGGAGAGGUGACAGGCCUCUGCCACAUUCCACCCCCACUUCAUGCUGGGACAUGGGGACCUGGAGACCUAGUGUGAGAUGCCUGUAGACUCUGUAACUGGAGGAGUGUUCUGACAGCUGUGUUUCCUGAAACUGAGUCUUGGUUUCAGAGUUCAGCAAGGGAUAUGCAUGGUGGUGGUAGCGUUGGGACAGAAGCGGGGCACUACUUGAGAGUUUUGAAAUAUGUAAUUUGUCACAGCAAGGACAAGGGCAAGUGAGCCUGGCAGGAGGGAGGAGCCUCUUCAAAGUCUGGAUCUGCAAAAAAAAUCUUCAGAAGAGGAAAUGAAACAAAUAAGCGAGUUCUUAAAAAAGCUUUUGAGCUCUCUAAAUGAGCAAUAGUUGAGGCAGCUUUGAUAGUCCAAAGCUAACCUCAAGGCUGAGAUUCUUAAUCCUAGUACUCUAGACGUCAUAUUCCAGUGAUCAGAUGCAGAAUCCAUAAGUGCUCUGACAGGUCUUAUCAUUAUGUGUGGUGUUUUCACUUAGUGAGUGCCCUUGUUUUGUCAGUUCAAGGUGGCUUGCUUAGUUACUUUAUUGUAAUGUUCAAUGGCUAAACUUUAAACAAAAAUCAAUAAAGGGCAAGGAAUGAGUUUGCAAAAACUAUCAGCCACUUCCCUCAAUUUAAUUGUAAAAUCAAUCAAAUCUGUUUUUUGGCACAGUGCAAGGAAAACAUCUAUUUGUCCAAUAAACUGUCUCAUUGAUUAAAUGGUUCAUUUGGAAGAGAUAACAAAAGUCUAAGAUUUUAAUCUCAAGGAAAAAUGUAUCUUGCAAACAUGUUUUCAAGAUCCUGAGAUCAUAUUAUUUUCCUUUAAGGAUUUGCUUCAUCCCAGGUGUUCAUCUAAUCCUACUUUUGCUAUUUUUAAUCAUUAUUCAUCUAUGUAAAAUGGAAAAUCUAUUUAGAUGCUUAAAAGUCAACGUAAGCUCACAAACCUGAAUUUCAGCAACUAAAAAGGGAGAAGUAAUAAUGAUUCAGUUCUUACUGGGAGCUACUUUAUACACUAUUUUAUUUGGACCUCAUAACAACUAUAUGAGAGAGAACUGUGCACUCUCUGCCAGGGGUUAGGGUUAACAUAAAGCCAAAACCCAGGCAGGUCACGAAAAUGAGCAAAGCAGGCCAGUUAUGAGUGCUGUCACCUUACAAGGAGGUGGAAACAAUGUUUCCGGAUCCUGUUUCUUAAGAGAAGCCAAAAGAUUUACGUAAAGUCUCCUGAUUUUUUUUCAAUGGUGGUAAUUGAUUAAAAUAAAUAUUUCCAAUACUGUAUGUACUGAAUAAAGAAAAUUUGGGGCUGACCCUGGCCCAGCAACUGCCACUUAGCAAUGUCUGGUAUUGAAGUGAAAAUAAGGCUCAGGGCUGGGCACGGUGGCUCAUGCCUGUAAUCCUAGCACUUUAGGAGGCCAUGGUGGGCAGAUUGCUUGAACCCAGGAGUUCCAGACUAGCCUGGGCAACAUGAUGAAAUCCUGUCUCUACAAAAAGUACCAAAAAAAAUCAGCCAAGCAUGGUGGCAGGCACCUGUAGUCUCAGCUACUUGGGAGGCUGAGGUGGGAGGAUUGCUUGAGUCCAGGAGGCCGAGGUUGCAGUGAGCUGAGAUUACACUACUACACUUCUGCCUGGGCAACAGAGCAAGACUCUGUCUCAAAAAGAAAAGGCUCAGGAAGGUGACAUCACUAUGCUAAUUCAAGGAGGAAUGAAAGAGUGACCUCAUGGGACAGUAGAUCAGAGAAUGUUCUACCUGGUGGCCAGCCUAUUUGUGGGGAGGGGUCCCUAAGAAGAGGCUGUAUGCUGGCUUGGGUUAUGGAGGGCCAAAGCUCAGGGGCCUGGGGGAAGGAGAGAAGCUUAACCAAAGUUUGGCUAACAGGCAUUUUGUUCUGAUUGAUCAGUGGUGACAAGCAGUUCAGCUAGUCAUUUAGGAGGUCAAAAACAGAAGACUGGAAGAUCCCUAUCUAGUUUUGUCAUCAGUAGACAAAGGGGCACUCAUGAAACUUGUCUAAGUCAUACGGGGAAGGGUGGCCCCUUGCAGUAAGUCAUUUUCCAGAACGUAAAAGGGCAAUGGGCUUUCUUAACCUUCAGGUAAAAUUCCACUUUGUCAAAACAUAAGCAUGAUGUAGACAAAGGUUGAGAGUGAGAUCAGGCUUAUUGCCCAGUCUUAAGCCAUUUAAACCCAAGGUGGACUUUCCCCUCAGGAAAGAAGGGAAGGAAAGAAGCUAGGAAGGCCCUGGCUAGGUUCUGUGUGGGUUGGGGAAUGUGAAUCCUGAUGGAGCAGCCUAAAGAAGUCAAGCAGUCCUGUAGCAGCAGCCGUGGGGGAGGUUCCUCCUGGGAGUGGAGGAGGGCGAGUGCUGCAGGUCCAUCAGUGGAAAUGGGAAUGGACCAUUAGGCGGAGAAGACUUAUCGAAGCUGCGAAGUCCAAGAUCAAGGUGCCAGCAGAUUCUGUUCCUGGUGAAGGCUAUCUUCCUGUUUUGCAGGUGGCUACCUUCUCGCUGUGUCCUCAUAUGGUGGAGAGUGAGACUUCAUCUAAAAAGAAAAAAAAAAACCCACUCCGGACAUAGUGACUGUAGCUGGGUCUUGGACUGCAAGAAGACCAUCCUGCAGUGAGCACAGGGAGGAGGAGGUGCAUGCAAGCGAUACUGCAGGGCCAGAAUCAGAAUCAUCAGCACGUAGCAACUGAUUGGAUUUCUGGAGCAAGAAAGAAGAGUUGAAGAUAAUGUUGAACUUUCUCAUUGGGAGAUUUUACUAACAUUAUUGAGCAAUUACUGCAUGAUGGAUGUUACGCUAAGAGCAUUCUACAAUUAUUAUACCUCUUACGUCUCCCAGUAGUUCUGUUAAGUAAGUACUAUUGUUUUUGUUUUAGAGACAGAGUCGGCUCUGCCACUCAGGCUGUAGUCCAGUGGUGCAAUCUCAGCUUACCAUAGCCUCGGGCUCAAGCGAUCCUCCCACCUCAGCUCCCCAAGUAGCUGUGGUCCCAGCUGGCUCCAUAUGAAAAGCCUCUUGCUUCCUUAAUUACUAACCAAUGGUAAUAGUUUUUUUCUUUUUUGUUUUUUUCAAGAGACAAGGUCUUGCUCUGUCACCCAGGCUGGAGUGCAGUGGUGGUAACAUAGCUCACUGCAGCCUUGAACUCCUGGGCUCAAGGGAUCCUCCCACCUCCGCCUCCUGAGUAGCUGGGACUACAGGCAUAUGCCACCAUGCCCAGCUAAUUUUCAAAUAUUUUGUAGAGACCAGGGUCUUGCUAAUUGCCCAGGCUGGUCUUGAACUCUUACCUCAAGCAAUACUCCUGCCUCAGCCUCCCAAAGUGCUAGUACUUCAGGUGUGAGCCACCACCCCCGGUG
rnacentral:lncRNA from 1 species